rnacentral:rRNA from 1 species
UACGGAGGGUGCGAGCGUUAAUCGGAAUUACUGGGCGUAAAGCGCGCGUAGGCGGUUACUUAAGCGAGAUGUGAAAUCCCCGGGCUUAACCUGGGCACUGCAUUUCGAACUGGGUGACUAGAGUUUUGGAGAGGAGAGUGGAAUUCCCGGUGUAGCGGUGAAAUGCGUAGAGAUCGGGAGGAACAUCAGUGGCGAAGGCGGCUCUCUGGCCAAAAACUGACGCUGAGGCGCGAAAGCGUGGGGAUCAAACAGG